CCUACGGGAGGCAGCAGUGAGGAAUAUUGGUCAAUGGCCGAAAGGCUGAACCAGCCAAGUCGCGUGAAGGAAGAAUGAUCUAUGGUUUGUAAACUUCUUUUAUAUGGGAAUAAAGGUAUCCACGUGUGGAUAUUUGCAUGUACCCUAUGAAUAAGCAUCGGCUAACUCCGUGCCAGCAGCCGCGGUAAUACGGAGGAUGCGAGCGUUAUCCGGAUUUAUUGGGUUUAAAGGGUGCGUAGGUUGUUUGUUAAGUCAGCGGUGAAAGUUUGCGGCUCAACCAUAAAAUUGCCGUUGAAACUGGAAGACGUGAGUGUGUUUGAGGUAGGCGGAAUGCGUGGUGUAGCGGUGAAAUGCAUAGAUAUCACGCAGAACUCCGAUUGCGAAGGCAGCUUACUAAGCCAUAACUGACACUGAAGCACGAAAGCGUGGGGAUCAAACAGGAUUAGAUACCCCAGUAGUC
rnacentral:rRNA from 1 species